rnacentral:rRNA from 1 species
UACGUAGGGCGCAAGCGUUGUCCGGAAUUAUUGGGCGUAAAGAGCUCGUAGGUGGCUUGUCACGUCGGGUGUGAAAGCUUGGGGCUUAACUCCAGGUCUGCAUUCGAUACGGGCUGGCUAGAGGUAGGUAGGGGAGAACGGAAUUCCUGGUGUAGCGGUGAAAUGCGUAGAUAUCUGGAGGAACACCGGUGGCGAAGGCGGCAUUCUGGACCGACAUUGACGCUGAGGAGCGAAAGCCAGGGGAGCAAACGGG